GCCAGACAGAGGUGAGGCUGUGCGUGUUAGCCCCGGGGAACUCGCCAGGGCCUGCUGUCCAUCAAAGCUUUGCAAUUGGGAAGAACCCCUUCCCACCUCCAGGAGUAGGUGGAGACCCAUGCCUGCAAAUUCCAUCUUAGGGCUCCAGUUCCCUUUCCCGAGAAUCUUCCCACUUGGGAAAAACAAAGGAACAUAACCUCCCCAUUGGCAAAAAAUAGAAAGCACAUCCAUUUCCAUUUAAUACGGGGAAUGCGCUGUGGUCAUUUGUACGAAGAGGCUACCUUUAUGUGUACUGAAGGGCGCCCCGCACUCGAAGAUGUACACAACAGCCAGGGAAGUGAGCCGUGUCAUCUUAUAAUAAGGAUAGAGUCGUCCUUUCCUGGUUUGAAUUAUCAGUGUCGUGUGUAUGUGAAUGCAUGAAUUUAAGUAGGAAGGGUGGAUGGCUGGAAAGUGCUCUGCUAAACUGUUAACAGUAACUGGGGGUGGCCUGGGUUUGGGAGGAGAGAAACAGCUUUUGCUUUUUGAGAAUCUAUAGCGUGCUGUGGGGUUUGAAAUUCUCAGAGUGAACGGGCUGGUGGGCGACUUGCACUGUUCUUUUAUUAAACAGCUCAAGAACAGAGAGGUAUAAAGCGGGGUUCUUCAUGUUGCUCUGUGAAACAGUAAGUUGUAUGCAUCUAACUAGCUAUGAGAGAAGCCCAAAGCACAGGGAAAGGGGAAGAGAAGGAAGGUGUGGGGAGAGGUGAACAGUGCAAAAAAAAACCAGUGCUCGUUCUAGUGGGGUAGCAGCUGAGGGAGAACCCCAACUCUGAACCACCUGGAGGUUGGCGACCUCCAGUCCUGGGGUCCUGGGUCAACAAGUGGAAGGAGAAGUGGGGGAACCCCACUGUGACUCCUCUGCCAGAGGACACUGAAGUCCUCACCUUGAACAAGGGGACUGCGGCCAAGCCUAGAUCACUGUCCGUGCACCCCGGACAUGCUGCUUGUCCUGGGUGUCACUUUGUUUCUUCAUCUGCAGAGAAAAAGACUCCUUUAUACACCCGUUCCCAGCCUUUCCCAAGCAGCAGAAAGCAGCCUGAAGGACCUGACUGCUGCCUGAGAACGCAUAUUACUAACAAGUCCAAAAUUGUGGGUGCUGUCGAAGAAGCCACACUUUUAAAAGCACUGCCUUAUCACAAAAAGCCAGAGGCUGCGAGCUGGAGGUGAAGCCCAGGGGUGCAGAAUGUUUGGCAAGUGUUGACCUGCCCCUCCCUUCAGCCCGCUUGUUUGUUUUGGGGAUGCUUCCUGCCUCUGGGGAGCAGUCCCCUCUCACCACUUGUUCAUCUGCGUGACCUCAUGAUUCGUAACUCUGGCACCUCUGCACUGCUCCCCGAGAGAAGCAGUUCAACGGACACCUGAAGUUGUAUAGGCCCAGGGAUAACGAUGCCUCUGUACAAGUUCUUUCUGUCCAAGUCCUUUCCCAGCUUCCAGGUUCCUGAGUCCUGUGAUGGCAAAGCAGCAUGAACAGCACGCAUUCCCAGCCGGCUGAACCCCUGGCUGGGAUCCAGGGAGGGCAGGGGCAGCUGGCCACUUCCCUCCUUCCCGGCUGCUGGGCAGGGCAGGCUUUUCAGCAGCUCUGGGAUGCGGAUUAGGAGCCUGAGCGAUGCCCCUUAAACCCUGCACUCUAUUUAAUUUCUUUGAUUUAUGGCAAGGAUUUCUUGCACCUCCAGGGGAGAGAGGCCUGGCUACACAAGUCUGCUUCCCAGGCUAAGCCCAUACGGCCUCGUCUGUUGAUACCCUCCUCAUAACAACAGAGUCCAUCUAACGGCCCAUUCGCUGUCUCCGUGGAACCAAUGGCAGAGGCAAGCUACCUCUCCUCUCCACUGGCUAGGAUUUCCCCUCAUGGUGGCGGCACUGCAAGCCCAUCCUGCAGAUGCCCUAAUCGGGGAGACACCCCGGAGAUGGCAUGCAACUUUCCAAAGAGCACCCCACUUCCAAGAGCUGGGAGUGGAGACUUGUGCGCUGGUAAAGGCAGAGAGCUCCAGGGAGCAGCUGAGCAGCGUGAAGACUGGAGAGCGUGACCUUCAGCCCCAGGGCUGCUGAGUGCAGGGAGCUGCAAGGGAGUCUAGACUCUGUGAAGACCUAGAAGGAAGCAUCAGGAAACGGGACCUCAGGGAGUGUGGGGAUCCAUUGGCUUUCUCGUGGCUUUCUCCUUUAGCCGGAGCCAGCCUGGCUCCCCGGGCAGCUGGUACAAGCCAGCCACGGCCAGGAAGCUCGGUCCCAGGGUACCCAGGCAGCCUGCAUGGAAACUCGGGGUACAGUGGGUGAAUCUGCAGAUGCUGAGGCCACCUGCCCGCGGGUCCUUCACCUGAGGGUGGAACUGCCACUUUGCUACUCUGACAGGUCUUCUGCAGCCCAGGCCCCUGUCUGUCUGUCUGUCUAUUUCCUUCAGUUACACACCUUCCUUUCCUGUUCCCCUCUUUCCUAGCUGUGCUCUCCUGUCCAGUCCGGCUCUCCUCGCUUCCUCCUUCACUUCUGAUUUUCCCCACUUUCCUUCUCCUUUGUGUGCUUGUUUCCUCUCUCUCUUUUGCUCCUAGAACUUUUCUUCUCCACGGGCAGGGCUUGGGGUGUCCCCAGACCGGCAGCUUCAGCCUAACCCACACCCAGACCCACCACAGGGGACACUUUGAGGGCAGCCCCAGCCAUCUGGGCUUGAUGCUCACUCAAGUUUGAGAAUCACAGUCUUAGAGGGAAAAACGCCAAUUUACCAAACACAGGAGCGUCUCUGCGCGCUGAUCCAGUAAGCCUUCGUUUCUAAACACCCAAAACCCUCCUGUGCCCAUUAACUAAUUAGGACGUCAGACCACCAGGCUGGCCAGGAUGCGUCCAGAGACAGCACACACUCUUUCACUCGGGUUCUCUGAUUACUAUCAUGCCGCUAAAUCCUCUGUCCAUCCUGGGUCCUUCCUGUCCCCGAGCUGUGAGCUGCGGGCUGCUUCCUGGAGCUGCUAAGGGGGACCUGAACUUCCUGUCCAGCAGCUCACAGUGGUAGCAAUGCUUGCCAAGAUGCAGGGCUCAGGUUCUGAUAGGGAUAGGAAUGCAGAAAGGACACCAUUAAUCCAGGGUAUGUGAGGGAAGUGGGGCAGUCAGAUCCUUCCAGUGGAGGACUGUUGGAGCUCAGCAGUCCGGAGCUCAGGAAUGCAGUGGCCCCAAGGAGGAGGGUAAGGUCACCACUAGGAGCGUCUCCUGGGCUUGAUCACCGAACUCCACUUCCAGGCCAAGCAUUGCGAGUGCUAAGCAUAUUUGACAGAUGGUGAUUCCGGGGAGCAGAGCUGCUUUUCCUUCUGGUGUGGCCCUUCUUUAGCAGAAGGUACAGAGUAAAGGAACCCCAGCCUGCUCUGCAGAGAGGCCUCACCCUGCAAGGGCCCUGCAAGAAGGGCAGGGGCUUGCAAGCCCCAGAGCUGCUGGAUCCCCCUGACACGCCUUCCCGGGGUACCUAAGUCUCCACCAGCAACCUCUCAAACACAGACCGUGAAGCCAGCUUCAGUCCAUGAUGCGACGACGGAGGGUUUUUGGAAUAAAGGAUGAGAAAAAUGUCCUCAUGGUGCCCUUUCUUAAAUUGCCCAGAACGUAGCCCUGGAGAUUCUAAUUCAGUAGAUUUGGCAUCAGGCCUGGGAAUCUAGAUUGUAUAAAAGUUCCCGCGGGCUUUGGAUGGAUGCGAAGGAUUGCGAGCCACGGGUUUCCACGCACCCAUGCGUGGUGUUUGUGUAACUGUAUAUUCAGGGAAAUGUGGAAGCCAGGGCAGGGUCUGUAACCUUUGUACAUUAUCCCCGCUUGUUCCCCCCAACCAAAUGCUGUAAGGUCUUGUUCCCAACACCAAUUUGUAUCCCCACGAUGGAUGCAGUCAUGAGGAACUGCAAAUACGUGUUAAUAAAACUAAAAAAUUUAAAAGACAAA